UAAACAUGCUUUGUGAGAUCUCAAUCCUCCCGCUAUACAACUAUAUCUAGCUCAUGUAGAAUAAACAAACAGACAACAAUAUGCACAGAAAAACUCAGUUUAAAAGAAAUCCGAGUCCGAUGACAAAAUAGUAAACAAAAGAAACUACACAAAAUGAAUAUGAUUCAUAAAUUAACAAAGAACUACUAGCAGUAACUGACAUGCCAGCUCCAGACCCCAAUUAAACAUAUCGAAAUAAUACAUAGAUAUAAGAAGAUGUGGUAUGAGUGCCAAUGAGACAACUCUCCAUCCAAGUCACAGUGUGUAGAAGGAAACUAUUAUAGGUUAAAGUACCCUCUUCAACACGAAUCCUUGGCUCACAC
rnacentral:lncRNA from 1 species